rnacentral:sRNA from 1 species
GGAAGUGUAUUCUUUAGUGUGAUGCCACUACUGUAUUUAGAUCACUAGCUCUCGUUAGAAGGUCUACAGCACGUGACGUCACGCGCUCGUUGCCAGGCUACGCUUCUUGUAACGUGCGCUGCGGACGAUCGCCCGCGCGGCUGCGACGGCCCGGCGGCGCACUUUCCUUGGGCGGCCUCUUAAACCUUACGCGGUUUUAGUUAACUCGUUAGCUUAGCUCCGGUUUAAUCUCGAGCACUUCCAUAACGUGGCGGCGAGAACACACUCGAUUGCCAGUUUUUUGG